GAUGAAGAACGCAGCGAAAUGCGAUAAGUAAUGUGAAUUGCAGAAUUCAGUGAAUCAUCGAACCUUUGAACGCACAUUGCGCCCGCCAGUAUUCUGGCGGGCAUGUCUGUUCGAGCGUCAUUUCAACCAUCAAGCCCCAGGCUUGUGUUGGAGCCCUGCGGCUGCCGCAGCCUCCCAAAACCAGUGGCGGGCUCGCUAUCACACCGAGUGCAGUAGUUUACUCUUCGCUCAGGGCGUGUGGCGGGUGCUAGCCGUAAAACCCCCAACUUCUCAAGGUUGACCUCGGAUCAGGUAGGAAUACCCGCUGAACUUAAGCAUAUCAAUAAGCGGAGGA
rnacentral:misc_RNA from 1 species